GCUGGGCACGGUGGCGCGUGCCUGUAAUCCCAGCUACUCAGGAGGCUGAGGUGGGAGAAUUGCUUGAACCCAGGAGGCGGAGGUUGCAGUGAGCCGAGAUCGUGCCAUUGCACUCCAGCCUGGGUAACAAGAGCGAAACUCCAUCUCAN
rnacentral:sRNA from 13 species